rnacentral:rRNA from 1 species
GACGAACGCUGGCGGCGUGCUUAACACAUGCAAGUCGAACGGAAAGGCCCUGCUUUUGUGGGGUGCUCGAGUGGCGAACGGGUGAGUAACACGUGAGUAACCUGCCCUUGACUUUGGGACAACUUCAGGAAACUGGGGCUAAUACCGGAUAGGAGCUCCUGCUGCAUGGUGGGGGUUGGAAAGUUUCGGCGGUUGGGGAUGGACUCGCGGCUUAUCAGCUUGUUGGUGGGGUAGUGGCUUACCAAGGCUUUGACGGGUAGCCGGCCUGAGAGGGUGACCGGCCACAUUGGGACUGAGAUACGGCCCAGACUCCUACGGGAGGCAGCAGUGGGGAAUAUUGCACAAUGGGCGGAAGCCUGAUGCAGCAACGCCGCGUGCGGGAUGACGGCCUUCGGGUUGUAAACCGCUUUCGCCUGUGACGAAGCGUGAGUGACGGUAAUGGGUAAAUAAGCACCGGCUAACUACGUG